rnacentral:rRNA from 1 species
GACGAACGCUGGCGGCGUGCCUAAUACAUGCAAGUCGAGCGAAUUGAUUUGGAGCUUGCUCCAAUGAUGUUAGCGGCGGACGGGUGAGUAACACGUGGGUAACCUGCCUUAUAGAUUGGGAUAACUCCGGGAAACCGGAGCUAAUACCGAAUAAUACUUUUUGACACAUGUCAGUUAGUUGAAAGACGGUUUCGGCUGUCACUAUAAGAUGGACCCGCGGCGCAUUAGCUAGUUGGUGAGGUAACGGCUCACCAAGGCAACGAUGCGUAGCCGACCUGAGAGGGUGAUCGGCCACACUGGGACUGAGACACGGCCCAGACUCCUACGGGAGGCAGCAGUAGGGAAUCUUCCACAAUGGGCGAGAGCCUGAUGGAGCAACGCCGCGUGAGUGAAGAAGGAUUUCGGUUCGUAAAACUCUGUUGCAAGGGAAGAACAAGUAGCGUAGUAACUGGCGCUACCUUGACGGUACCUUGUUAGAAAGCCACGGCUAACUACGUGCCAGCCGCCGCCGUAA